UACGGGGGGAGCAAGCGUUGUUCGGAUUUACUGGGCGUAAAGGGCGCGUAGGCGGCCACCGCAAGUCGGUUGUGAAAUCUCUGGGCUUAACCCAGAAAGGUCAACCGAUACUGCGGGGCUAGAGUGCAGAAGGGGCAACUGGAAUUCUCGGUGUAGCGGUGAAAUGCGUAGAUAUCGAGAGGAACAUCAGUGGCGAAGGCGGCCUGCUGGGCUGUUGCUGACGCUGAGGCGCGACAGCGUGGGGAGCAAACAGG
rnacentral:rRNA from 1 species